rnacentral:rRNA from 1 species
AUGUAUUCGACUCUUGCACAGGCAAGGGAAAACCAGCUGUCGAGGCAGGCCAACAACCUGUUUGAUGAAUUUAAUGUCAAUGUUGCACCCUUCAAUCGGGUUGACCUAGAGGACUACCUGAAGCAAAUCAAAAAUCACCGCAAGUCUGGCACGACGGCGACCUGGUGCCAGACGCCGCCCACCAACAGCAGCUCCUGCCUGCACGGCGACCUCGCCGCCCUGCACCGCUCCGUCGCCUCCCUGCACGAUCGCCGUCGCCGAUUUUUGCCGCUCAUAGUGUGGCAUCCGUCCUGCGAGAUCCCCGGUGCCCAGGAGAUAGAUCCUACCCAGGGACCAGCUGUGUCGCCGCGCACGCGCCCCGGCCUACACCCGCGCCUGCUGCGUCCCCUGAACCAGCCGGCCACAUGCAGCUAUGAUUCUUCCUUCCACUUCUUCAGGUUCGACUUCUUCCUAGCAUGGCGGCGGCUUAGGGGCCUGGAUUUGGCCAUAGUCUGGAGGGACGCCAUAGAUUGGAUUUCGAAGCUGAUUAAAUCUGCAAAUUCAUUGCCGUUGACUGCGGGCUUGUCUGUCAACUACCUUGAUAGGUUCCUCUCCGUCUAUCCCCUUCUUGGAAGUCUAUCAUCUGAGUAGAUAAAUCAUGUACGGUGCCAUGCUUGCCCCUUUAUUCCUGGAGUAUUUGCAGCUGUCUUUUGUCAGCAUCUCGACGCAGAGCGCCCUCGGCUCAAGGGAAUCAUCUCCAAGCCUACCAUACUCGAAUCAUGGAAGUGCGCAAACUAGAGCGCAUCAUGGUGUCGCUGGCCACCCGAUCUCUACAACCACAACAAAAGGCUACAAGAUUGACCAGGCCGGUGUCUUGACCUCUGAAUCACAUCGCUGUGCCGGCGCCUUGAUCUCGCAUGAGGACGUCUAAAACCCGAGGGCCAACCUCGCUCGAGCGUCGCCGGUCAGCACUCAUCUGCACAGGAGCAAAUGUUCACAAGGAUUGGCACCACGGACUGAAGAAUCGUCCCAACCAUCAUGGACACACCAGGGGCAGGGGCUGCAUGCUGCCAAGGCUGAGGUGGCUGCCACGAAGACUGGCUCGAUGUAAUGACCGAGGAGGCGCAGGCCGCAGGGUGUGCUCUUCUAAUUAGUAUUAUGAUUUGCAUAUGUAACAAUGCUACUCUGAAUGGAUUUGCUAACUAUAUAUAUGGUAUGUGUGUUUUGGAAUCUUGGUAGUGGUUCAGUAGUGGUCCAGUCGUAAUAUCUUACAAGUACGCUGCUAAUCAAAAAUUUCUUGAUCAAGUUUAUUAUUAUUUCCAU